rnacentral:lncRNA from 1 species
ACAGAACAAGGAGCAGGAUGCAAAUGUGAGAAUGCCACAGGCUACUUGAGGAGGGAAUGCAUUUUCACAGUCAAGAAAUUAUAACAAAGAUCUCACUUGACAGAGAGAAGAUUUUAAAACCUCAGGCUGAAAAACGUGUGGCUUCGCUGAGACUUGGAAAAACCAGCAGUAUCGAUUUUAAGAAGCCAGUGACUUCUGUGUGCUGUUGACAGAACUAGGGAACUUAAAUCCACAGCAGACCCCUGAACAGCUCGAGUUGAUAGUUCUUCAAGAGAAAGUGAGUACAUCUUGGGUAGAGCAUGAAGAACAAGGUGGGGAGAGGGAAAGGAGUUGGGAUUUUCUGGUACGCCUCUUUGUCUAAAUUUGCUAUCUUCAAGGGAAGAGCUGAUCACUCACCAGGGUGCACCUUUGCAUGGCAGGAUAACAAUGAAUGAGAAGCCAGUUCUCUUUCCCACUUGUCUGGCACGAUCUCCUGGCAAGGAUAGGGUAGGUGUUUGCCAGGUGGCUCCCAGACAAGGUCUUUUUAGGGGAGUACAACAAGGCUUCAGUCAUUGCUUUUCAUAAAGUGCUUUGGGAUCCUUCAGGAAUGGGGGCUGGAGGAAUAUUAUUACUAACUGGCUUCAACUUUCAAACCAAAUGGAACCAUUUUAUCCAGCGUAAUUAUUGCUUUAAGCAUUAGUGAAUGUUCUUAA